UGGCGGGUGGGGCGGGCGCUGACCACCGGUUCGCUGCCGCUGGACCGGCUGGCCCGGCCGUUCGGCGACGACCCCCGCGACC
rnacentral:tRNA from 1 species